rnacentral:rRNA from 1 species
UACGGAACAGGCAAGCGUUGUUCGGAAUCACUGGGCUUAAAGCGCGUGUAGGCGGCCUGGCAAGUACCUCGUGAAAUCCCCCGUCUCAACCGGGGCACUGCUUGGUAUACUGCCGGGCCUGAGGUAGGUAGGGGUGCCUGGAACUCUAGGUGGAGCGGUGAAAUGCGUAGAUAUCUAGAGGAACGCCUGUGGCGAAAGCGGGGCACUGGGCCUAUCCUGACGCUGAGGCGCGAAAGCGUGGGUAGCAAACGGG